rnacentral:ncRNA from 1 species
UCCAAAAAGCAUAGUAAGGCUCGUAUAAUUUUGGGAAUAAGGCCCAACAGUUUCUACCGGGUGACCGUAAAUCGCCUGACUACGAGUGAGAGAGCGUCCACG